ACUCAUACCUUGCAGGGGAAAUACCAUGUCAUAAAAGUGGUUUUCUCAGGGGGAGGCUCAUCCAUUGCACUUUGAGUGUGCUACUGAUCCUUGUGAUUUCCACAAAUGUGGGGAACUCAACUGCAUAAUUUGUGUUGAUGGGGGAUUGCCCUUGUGAUUUCCCUGG
ensembl:snRNA U1 U1 spliceosomal RNA